GAUGAACGCUGGCGGCGUGCCUAAUACAUGCAAGUCGAGCGAACAGACGAGGAGCUUGCUCCUCUGACGUUAGCGGCGGACGGGUGAGUAACACGUGGAUAACCUACCUAUAAGACUGGGAUAACUUCGGGAAACCGGAGCUAAUACCGGAUAAUAUAUUGAACCGCAUGGUUCAAUAGUGAAAGUCGGUUUUGCUGUCACUUAUAGCUGGAUCCGCGCCGCAUUAGCUAGUUGGUAAGGUAACGGCUUACCAAGGCUACGAUGCGUAGCCGACCUGAGAGGGUGAUCGGCCACCUGGGAUCUGAGAAAGGGUACAGACUCCUAGGGGAGGAAGCAGUACGGAAUCUUCCGCGAUGGGGGAAAGCCUGACGGAGCAACGCGGCGUGAGUGCUGAAGGUCUGCGGAUCGGAAAACGCUGUUAUUAGGGAAGAACAAAUGUGUAAGUAACUAUGCACGUCUUGACGGUACCUGAUCAAAAAGCCACGGCUAACUACGUG
rnacentral:rRNA from 1 species